UACGAACCUCGUUUCUAUGCAUUGGUUAUCCUUGGCAUUCACACGUUCAAAAAUGUAGUCUGAAAUCCUGAAGAAGGAACGGGAGUAUUGUUUUUAAUUUUCGACCCUUAGCCAACUCUGCUCGCCUGACGACCAUAAUCUAAAAUGAACUACCCACAAUACAAAACUACUAAGAGUACUACGGUUACGCAUUCCGAACCGUAUGCAGAAUACGAACUAGAUUUGACAAGUGUUGUUUUUUUCUUGGCAGUAUAUGUCUACCUCAUAUUCUGUCACUUAAGGAAUUUCGACCAAGUAAGAAAUCGGCGAUUAUAGCAGUCAUGGCAUCAAGAUACUUCAACUGGCUGGGGAAUCGACAGGCAAUCCUGUUUUAACUGGACGAAAGGCCCACUGAAAUGUGAACGUUGUCUUAUAUCGAAAUCUGACAAGAUUUUCUUAUCAUAAAAUUUAAAGACUUAUGACAUGAUAGCUUCUUAAAAGUUGCAAGGUUUUAGCGUAUCCAUAGAAUACUUAAAUGUUAAUUUUUAUUGUCUAUUUUUAAGACUUUGUAAACUAACGUAUUUCCAGAGUACCUGUAAAUUGUGGUUAAUUCUGCAAUUUUUUUUAUAUCCAAAAAGUUCUUUUAUACUAUUAAUUAGUAAUUUUUCUAAGCAAUUUUUCUAAUAGAAAUCAAAUGUUUACACUGUAA